rnacentral:rRNA from 1 species
AUUGAACGCUGGCGGCAGGCCUAACACAUGCAAGUCGAACGGUAACAGGAAACAGCUUGCUGUUUCGCUGACGAGUGGCGGACGGGUGAGUAAUGUCUGGGAAACUGCCUGAUGGAGGGGGAUAACUACUGGAAACGGUAGCUAAUACCGCAUAACGUCGCAAGACCAAAGAGGGGGACCUUCGGGCCUCUUGCCAUCGGAUGAGCCCAGAUGGGAUUGGCUUGUUGGUGGGGUAACGGCUCACCGAGGCGACGAUCCCUAGCUGGUCUGAGAGGAUGACCAGCCACACUGGAACUGAGACACGGUCCAGACUCCUACGGGAGGCAGCAGUGGGGAAUAUUGCACAAUGGGCGCAAGCCUGAUGCAGCCAUGCCGCGUGUAUGAAGAAGGCCUUCGGGUUGUAAAGUACUUUCAGCGGGGAGGAAGGGAGUAAAGUUAAUACCUUUACUCAUUGACGUUACCCGCAGAAGAAGCACCGGCUAACUCCGUGCCAGCCGCCGCCGUAA